CAUCGUUUAAAGAAAGCGUAAUAGCUCACUGGUCUAAUGACGUUGCGCCGAAAAUGUAACGGGGCUAAGCAUAGUACCGAAGCUUUGAAUUCCGCGAAUGCGGUCUGGUAGGGGAGCGUUCUUCACGGGCUGAAGGUGUGUCGUAAGGCAUGCUGGACUGUGGAGAAGUGAUUAUGCUGACAUGAGUAACGAUAAAACGGGUGAAAAACCCGUUCGCCGUAAACCCAAGGUUUUCCGGGUAAAGGUAAUCUUCCCGGAGUUAGUCGGCCCCUAAGGCGAGGCUGAAAGGCGUAGCUGAUGGGAAACGUGUUAAUAUUCACGUACUUGUGUGUUCGCGCGAUGAAGGGACGCAGGAAGAUAGGCAAGCCGGGCGCUGGUUGUCCCGGUGCAAGCGUGUAGGGAUGAAGAGUUGGCAAAUCCGCUCUUCUCUAUCCUGAGACGCGAGUCCGUGACCGAAAGGUCUGAAGUUGUUGAGUCUAUGCUGCCUAGAAAAGCUUCUAAGUAUAGGACACGCAAACCGUACCGGAAACCAACUCAGGUGGGUGGGAUGAAUAAUCCAAGGCGCUCGAGAGAACUCUGGCCAAGGAACUCGGCAAAAUAACCCCGUACCUUCGGAAGAAGGGGUGCUUUUUAGGGUGAAGCGAUUCACUCUGUCGAGCCCUGAAAAGCCGCAGAGAAAUGGUGGUGGCGACUGUUUACUAAAAACAUAGGUCUGUGCCAAGUCGUAUAGACGACGUAUACGGACUGACGCCUGCCCGGUGCUGGAAGGUUAAAAGGAGGAGUCACUGGAAGCGAAGCUCCGAAUUGAAGCCCCAGUAAACGGCGGCCGUAACUAUAACGGUCCUAAGGUAGCGAAAUUCCUUGUCGGGUAAGUUCCGACCUGCACGAAUGGCGUAACGAUCUCCACACUGUCUCGGCCAGAGACUCGGUGAAAUUGAAGUCGCGGUGAAAAUGCCGUGUACCCGCAGAAAGACGGAAAGACCCUGUGCACCUUUACUAUAGCUUGACAUUGGGAUUUGAGCCUGCAUGUGUAGCAUAGGUGGGAGGCUGUGAACUCUGUACGCCAGUAUGGAGGGAGCCAUCGUUGAAAUACCACCCUUGUUUGUUCAGGUCCCUAACUCUUCGCCGUGAUCCGGUAAGAGGACAGUGUCUGGUGGGUAGUUUGACUGGGGCGGUCGCCUCCCAAAAUGUAACGGAGGCAUGCAAAGGUUCCCUCAGGCUGAUUGGAAACCAGCCGUCGAGUGCAAACGCAAAAGGGAGCUUGACUGCAAGAGAGACAUCUCGAGCAGGUACGAAAGUAGGUGUUAGUGAUCCGGUGAUCCCGAAUGGAAGGGUCAUCGCUCAUUGGAUAAAAGGUACGCCGGGG
rnacentral:rRNA from 1 species